CUGUGGUUUCAAGUCUCUGGAGUCCCAUUUUUUCUCUUCCAUGGAGUUUGUUUGCUGCAGUUUGAGGAGCCGAGGCAUAUGAUAAAUACCAGGUGUCCUUAGAAGAAGAGGAGAUUGGGCCCCAGACACACACGCACAGAAGAAAGACCACAUGAAGACAAAGGGAGAAGUCGGCGAUCUACAAACCAAGGAAACGUCCUCAGAAUGAAACCAACCUUGCCAACCCCUGAUCCUAGACCUCCAGCCUCCACAACGGCCUUUGGACUCAGAUGGAAACAUACCAUGGGAUUUCCUGGGUCUCCAGCAUGCAGAUGGCAGAUUGUGGAACUUCUCAGCCUCCAAAAUUGAGUGAGCCAAUUCCCAUCAUAAAUCCCCUCUCCUAUGUCUAUAUAUGUCCUAUUGCUUCUUUUUCUCUGGAGAAUGCUGACUAGUACAGACAAUACAGCA
rnacentral:lncRNA from 1 species